CAGCCGCCGCGGGAAUACGGGGGGGGCAAGUGUUAUUCGGAAUGACUGGGCGUAAAGGGCACGUAGGCGGUGAAAAGGGUGGAAAGUGAAAGUCGCCAAAACACUGGCGGGGUGCUUUCUUGACCAUUUCACUUGAGUGAGAUAGGGGAGAGUGGAAUUUCGUGUGGAGGGAUCAAAUCCUAAGAUAUACGAAGGAACGCCAACCGCGAAGGCAGCUCUCUGGGUCCCCACUGACGCUGGGGUGCGAAAGCAUGGGGAGCAAACAGGAUCAGAUACCCGAGUAGUCCCUGUCUCUUAUACA
rnacentral:rRNA from 1 species